rnacentral:rRNA from 1 species
AGGACGAACGCUGGCGGCGCGCUUAACACAUGCAAGUCGAGCGAGAACCAUUCCUUCGGGAAUGGGGACAGCGGCGAACGGGUGAGUAACACGUGGGUAAUCUGCCCUCGAUUCUGGGAUAGCCCGGGGAAACCCGGAUUAAUACCGGAUAGCCUCUCGAGCUUACGAGCUCGUGAGAAAGGGUAGCUUCGGCCUCCGAUCGAGGAUGAGCCCGCGGCGGAUUAGCUUGUUGGUGGGGUAAUGGCCUACCAAGGCGACGAUCCGUAGCUGGUCUGAGAGGACGAUCAGCCACACUGGGACUGAGACACGGCCCAGACUCCUACGGGAGGCAGCAGUGGGGAAUCUUGCGCAAUGGGCGAAAGCCUGACGCAGCGACGCCGCGUGGGGAAGAAGGCCUUCGGGUCGUAAACCUCUUCAGCGAGGACGAAGCC